rnacentral:rRNA from 1 species
AUGGAAGAAAGCUCAGAUUCCUUGACCAGUGACAGUGAUGGCAAUGGCGGUGAUCCAAACGAUCGCAUUAUCAGGGCAUAUCAGAGAGUAGAAGACAGAGGUCAACCCCUAGGGCUACAGAUUUCGCAGGGAAGCCUCCGUAUUAGGAAUGACGUGGAAGGUGGCCGUGUCACAGGUCUUGCGCCACGGAGUAUGAUGAGGCUGAGGCAAAGACUGCAGUUGAGGGACAGUGGUGACCAUGGAGCCGGUAGCAGCGGUGCCGCUGCCGGGGCUGAUCUUACUGAAGAAAACGGUGAGCAUCGAAGCAGGGAGGCACAGAGGAUAUGGAACGAAAUGGCAGCUGUUGAGGAGCAAGCAAAGAUCGACCUUGAAUGUGAGGAAGCAUCUUUCUUUGGUUCCUCGAUUGUGGUUCUCACAAGAGACAAUAAAUUUGGGUUGCUAGGUACUGAAAAUUUGGUGUUUGUUUUUGCUGACGCGCGUGAGCAUGAUACUAUACCAGUGAGGGGUGGUGCAGCAAACAGUGGUGCGUUCGGGGCUUCCAGUGGACCUCCAGCGACGAACAUCAGCAACGUGUGCGCAGACUGGCUGCGGCAGCUCUAG